UGUGUGUGUGUGUGUGUGUGUGUGUGUGUGUACUACAUGCAUGCCUAGUGCCUGAAGAGGUUAUAAAAUGACAUCAGAUACCCUGGAACUAGAGUUAUGAAUGUUUGUCAGCCACACUGUGGAUUCUACGAACUGAACUCAGGUGCUCUGAAAGAGCAACAAAUGAUCUUAACAGCUGAGCUCUCUCACAAGGUUCACUCUCUCCCUGUUUGCAGAAAAGUUAAUGCAUCUUUUCAAGUCCUAGUCUAUGGAUAUAAUAUCUCUCUGUCCCUUUUCAAUUGAGACAAAGAAGACUUAUAUGUCCUGGAAGAUCCUCUUGUCCUAUAAUGGGUUACUGCUUCAGACUCCUGGUCAAGGCUCCUAGAAAUUCUGCCAGUCAGUUCUCCAGUUUGAACAGGGAACAGAAAGAGAUUUCAUAUCAAAAGAAUGAAUUCAUAAAGGUGCACCAGGACCAUAUAAUCUUCAUGGAGCUGAGACCAUUAGAGUGAGAAACCCUGCUUGUGCAUGUGCUACCAUGAUCUCCAGGGAAAAGGGGAGAAGGCUUCAGAGGACUAUGCUGCUUCACGUAUACUUUCCUUGAAGAUUUUCCUGAACCUCUAAGGAAGCCUUUCAUUAAGCUGGGAAGAGCAUGUGGAUGAAGCUGGAGGAGAAGUGUUCUGCACUGCCAUUCAGAACUUUCCUCUGUGCUGCCCUGUGUUCCUCAUCCUGUUGAUGGGAGCAAAUGGCCUACUAGGGUGACUCAGCCUCAAGAGCUCACAUCCCAUCCCUUUGAAGUGUCAACUCCGGAGCCCUGUGAAGCUCCCAUCUGCCAUCAGAGUCGGCCAGUGCAUUCCCUAGUUAAACAUCCACGCAGGAUCUCAUAGGAACUUGAGAAUCAUUGUUUUUGGCUGGAAUCCUGGGUUUGAGGUUUCUUUGUGUAUGAUUCUGAAAAAAAGGAUUUGGAAAUGUUGUUCUCCCUAAUACCAAAGUAUAUAUUGUGGGCAUGGGGGGAGUGUCUUCCUUGCUAUCCACCUUAUAAUUCAGGCAACUGAGUCCGUUUCACACAAGUGCAUUCAUUCCUUUGAUGAAGUCCGGAGAUACCAAUGCAGCAGACAGAAUACCUGAAUGUUAAUCCCAGGUUUGUUAGAUAAGUUAUUCACCCUUGCAGUUCCAUUUUCCUUAUCUGAAAACACGAAGCUUAGGAGUGACGAUACCUAUGUUCUUGCCAGCCCUAUAAUUCUGAGUGGAAUUCUGAAAUCUGCUCUGCCACCAACAUUGUGUCCCAGGAGCUUUGCCCAUUACUCAUGAGAAUGUCAACAUCUGGGUAAACAGAUAUUUUGGGGUCAGCUCUAUAAAGCUCAGAAGUACGUAUUGCAUGUUGAUUUUGGCACACAGACAAGCCUGAGUAGGGUCGUGUCAAGCAUUUUACCACGCUAACUGCUGAAAGGCAGACCAAUCAUGGCAGUCUGGGUGAGCAGCCUGGGAUGAAGAGUACUGGGCUAAGUUUCAUGGCACAGAAGACCUCCAGGAAAAGUGAGGGGGGGGAGGUCUGGGGAUGGAUCUAGAGAUCAUCAAGACAUUAUUAGUAUCCAUGUUGGAAGUGGCUUGCGAUACUAUGUCAAAGCUACAUUCUCAGACAACAGCAAAAGCUGUAAAUAGAUCCACGCAGCUUUCCAAGCAUAGCAGAAUAAAACUAAAGGAAAGCCAAAUUAAACAGGCCCAGCCAACGCUUCGAGUGAGAAUGUUGAGUAUUGCUCAUGCUUCUAGAAAGAGUGGUCUCCAUUUAGAAUACUUGUGAGGGGGGUCCUUUGGAGACAACCAACCCCAUCCUCCUAGGAGGAGUCAGAGCUGCAGAGGCGCACCAGAGGCAAAGCCCCUUUCAAGAGGGAGGUCUUAUGCUUCAGAAAACUGAGGAUUUGUUGAAUGUUACUUUAACUGGCAUGUGUCUUAAAGAAAAAUAUGUUAGGUUCCAAGACCACAUGACUGAGAAUCUUAAGAUGACCAAGAAUUAUUACAUUAUGUUAGAAUAUCCUCUUUUUCAUUUCGUCAUAAUUUUAAACUCACAGAAAAUUCAUAAGAGUUGUACUGUUCCUAUAUAUCAUUAACAAUUUUCUUCCUUUUUUAAAACCAAUUCUCCUUGUUUUCAUUUCCUCUCCUUUUCAUAUAUGUUUAUUUCAUGUGUACAUUCAUAAAUGCAUUUCCCCCCAGAACUACUGUUUAAUAGUAAAUUA